CCAUCCAAUCACGGCCUGUUGCCAAGCAGUUUCUGUUGUCAGCGGCCAUCUUGGCAUGACCUUUUCACCUCAGUGGCCAUCUUGGCAUAAACUUUUCACCUCAUUCCACCACCUCUGUCUAUAUCAAAAUACUCUGCUUACAUACGAUGCAAUGGAGAAAGGACAUGUGUGAUGAAGGCAAGCUGAAAUUUUUGGGAGCAAUGAUAUGAAAUAAUAUAAAUAAACUUUAAUGAGACACCGUGGAGAACAGAUAAAUGGUCUUGAAGAAAUAUAUCGAAUCAUACUAACACAUGAACCUGUGUGCAAUGGGCAGUACAGAACAAAAACAGAUUCAUGAAGUGAACUAACCUGAAGCAACACUGUAGGAGUCUCAUCCAACAGAAGUACUGUCGGAGAAAUCUGAUAGUUAUAUGACAAGCAGCUGAAGCAUUCUACUCAUUGAACAACAUCUCUUCAUGCCAUUCACUCUCCAGUCUGGAUCCAAUCAUUCUACAUUGUUUGCCUAUAUUAUAGCAUAACUUUAUAGCAUAAAAAUAUAUAUGUAUAUAUGCGUG